rnacentral:rRNA from 1 species
GCCUACGGGGCGCAGCAGUGGGGAAUAUUGCGCAAUGGGGGCAACCCUGACGCAGCAACGCCGCGUGAUUGAAGAAGGCCUUCGGGUUGUAAAGAUCUUUAAUCAGGGACGAAAAAUGACGGUACCUGAAGAAUAAGCUCCGGCUAACUACGUGCCAGCAGCCGCGGUAAUACGUAGGGAGCAAGCGUUAUCCGGAUUUAUUGGGUGUAAAGGGUGCGUAGACGGGAAAUUAAGUUAGUUGUGAAAUCCCUCGGCUCAACUGAGGAACUGCAACUAAAACUGAUUUUCUUGAGUGCAGGAGAGGG